UUGAGUACGAAAGUACUUUCGUUCUUUAAUAAUUCAGACAAAUUUUUGUAAUUUAUUACAGUGUUCACGUCUUCGCCUCAACAAGAGUUUUUGCAACUGUAAUUGGAAAUUUUUAUUGAAAAUGAAUAUAAAAUAUUUAUUUGUUUUAUUGUCUGUGUGUUUCGAAGUCCGUGCAAAUUCGGAUUUGAACAAUAAGCUACUUGAUGCCGCCCAAAAUGGUCAUACAGAAAUGAUAAAAUAUCUAAUAGAGAAAGGAGCUCAUGUAAAUGGUAAAACGAUGAUCGAAUAUACCACUUCACAAGGCUGCUAGCCAUGAUAAUUGUUCACUUUUCCGAAUUAAGAAUAAAUAGUUUCAAUAAACUUAAAUCUGAUCACAUUUCGUGUGAUUUGCAUUCA